rnacentral:rRNA from 1 species
AGCCCUGUGAAGGUGAGCAAAUCCCAAAAAUAACGUCCCAGUUCGGAUUGUAGUCUGCAACUCGACUACAUGAAGCUGGAAUCGCUAGUAAUCGCGAAUCAGAAUGUCGCGGUGAAUACGUUCCCGGGUCUUGUACACACCGCCCGUCACACCAUGGGAGUCGGAUAUGCCCGAAGUCAGUGACCCAACCAUAUGGAGGGAGCUGCCGAAGGUGGAGCCGAUAACUGGGGUGAAGUCGUAACAAGGUAUC